rnacentral:lncRNA from 1 species
GGCAUAUGGAAGUUUCUGGGCCAGGGGUCAAAUCAGAGCUGCAGCCUGACCUGCGCCACAGCCACAGUAACACUGGAUCUGAGCCAUGUAUGUGACCUACGCCACAACUUUGGCAGCACAGGAUCCUUCACCCACCGAGCGAGGUUAGGGCUUGAGCCUGCAGCCUCACAGAGAUGACGCUGUGUCCUUAACCCCCUGCACCACAGCGGAAAUGCCAAUCCUCACAAUUCUUCCAGGAGACUUUCCUUCAGGAUGUGAGAUCGCAAGGGCCCUCUUUCCGAGGACAGUGCUGCAUCCCCAGCAACUAGAGCAUCCCAGAGUGGAUGCUGGGUAAAUAUUGUCCGAUGAACUUUUAUAGACGAGGAUGCUGAGGCUUGGCGAGUUCAGGCGACCUCCCCAUCACGAUACAGCUGUCUGGAGCCAAAUCAUGCUUUCGGCACUAUCCACACUGAAUUGCCCCUGCCCAGCAAUUUCUCAUUCCCAAGAAAGUUCUCAGUACGGUUAGGGUCUUGAGGUUCAGAGGUGAGGGCCGUAAUACCCAGGGGCCACAACAUGGCUCUUAACCGUGGUACAUGUGUGGCUUAGGCUGGCUGUGGAUGUCACAGAACCCCAGAAGUUCUGUCUUAAAACCGACUGGGGACACAGGAGUGUGGAAACAGUAUUGGAGAGACUGGGGAUUCCCCUCCCCCUUUGCCCCUCCGGCCUGACUCUUCCCUUUAUUGUCACUCCUCACAAAAAAAGUCAGAAUGCCUCUGUGCAUUCUCUCUUUUUCCUGAACAUUCAUGUCAGCAGGUUCCUCCUUUUCCUGAACGUUCGUGAGCCACUGAUGUCCCCUGUUAAAUGCACUGCUUUCAGGGCUGACUUUCAGGUUGGAUUAAAAGAUAUACAGUCCUGUACAAGCGUUAACUCACGGUCGUGUGCUGCAUUUUUAAUGGCCCAGGGAGCUCCUGAAGUCUGAAAUGACAUAUCUUUUACCAACCACCGACCUCAUUUCACUCUGUAAAAAUGCUGGGCUUGUUAUUUAUGCAAAGAAUCUAUCUCUUCAUUAUAAAUCUUGGAAAGAAAUUUCCGUCUUCUCCCUUUAAUGUUAUGUGUUUUUGAGAUUCUAUUUGUGCUACUUUCAGAAAAAAAAAAUCAUCAACUGAAGAAAGUGUUAUGUCACCUUGGCAAAAGAUAAACUAUCCUAACUAGUUAGGGAACCAGUGCUAUUAGAUAUGAGUUGAUCAUCCUUCUUGCCUAGCAUGUCCUUUCUUGUCGUGUAUGUGUGUGUGUGUGUGUGUGUGUGUGUGUGUGUGUGACUAUCUAUCUGCCUGUCCUCUCAACUUAUAAAAAUCAGGAGCCACUAAGUUCAGAAAACAUGUGCCUCUGUAUGAAACUGAUCUGAUCACACAAGCCUUGUAUGCUAGCAGAUGAGGCAGUCGGUCACUAUGUGGCACAGUCUGAAGUUCAAGCAGAAAACAAGGUCCCCGAGUUUUAAUACUGUUAGGGUCAGAUUUGCUACCCUAGCUUGCCUGCUAUUAAUCUGGGAAUCAAGGACUUCCCAUUGUGGUGCAGCAGAAAUGAAUCCAACUAGUAUCCAUGAGGAUGCAGUUUUGAUUCCCAGCCUCACUCAGUGGGUUGGGAUCCAGUGUUGCUGUGAGCUGUGGUGUAGGUCACAGAUGAGGCUUAGAUCCUGCAUUGCUAUGGCUGUGGUGUAUGCUGGCAGCUACAGCUCCCGUUAGACCCCUAGCCUGGGAACUUCCAUAUGCCGUGAGUGUGGACCAAAAAAGCGAAAACAAAGAACAAACCAAAAAAAAAAAAAAAAAAAAAACCUGGGAAUUAAGAGUCAAGUACAAUCAAAUAUAGAGGGAAGAGACAGUAUCCUGAAGUGGAAACUAUGUAGGAUUUAGAAUCCCAGCUCUGUCAUUACUCACUGUGUGUCCUUUGGCAAAUCACUCACCCUCUCUGAACCUGAUUUGUCCCAUCUCUAAAGUGAGUUUAAUGAUAUUUACUUCACAGGGUUGACAAGGCUGGAAUGAGAAAAUAAUUCCUGAAGGCGCUGGGGCCUCCCACCUACUCCCUU